rnacentral:miRNA from 1 species
GAUUAGUUCCUGCCUGGAUACA